rnacentral:misc_RNA from 1 species
GAUGAAGAACGUAGCGAAAUGCGAUAAGUAAUGUGAAUUGCAGAAUUCAGUGAAUCAUCGAGUCUUUGAACGCACAUUGCGCCCCCUGGUAUUCCGGGGGGCAUGCCUGUCCGAGCGUCAUUGCUGCCCUCAAGCACGGCUUGUGUGUUGGGCCCCGUCCUCCGAUCCCGGGGGACGGGCCCGAAAGGCAGCGGCGGCACCGCGUCCGGUCCUCGAGCGUAUGGGGCUUUGUCACCCGCUCUGUAGGCCCGGCCGGCGCUUGCCGAUCAACCCAAAUUUUUAUCCAGGUUGACCUCGGAUCAGGUAGGGAUACCCGCUGAACUUAAGCAUAUCAAUAAAGCGGAGGA